rnacentral:rRNA from 1 species
CGCAAUGGGCGAAAGCCUGACGGAGCAAUACCGCGUGAGGGAGGAAGGCUCUUGGGUCGUAAACCUCUUUUCUCAAGGAAGAAAAAAAUGACGGUACUUGAGGAAUAAGCAUCGGCUAACUCCGUGCCAGCAGCCGCGGUAAUACGGAGGAUGCAAGCGUUAUCCGGAAUGAUUGGGCGUAAAGGGUCCGCAGGUGGUAGUGUAAGUCUGCUGUUAAAGAAUCACGCUCAACGUGAUCAAAGCAGUGGAAACUACACAACUAGAGUACGGUAGGGCCAGAAGGAAUUCCUGGUGUAGCGGUGAAAUGCGUAGAUAUCAGGAAGAACACCGGUGGCGAAAGCGUUCUGCUAGCACCUGUCCUUGUUAACGGGAAGGGGCGUAC